UGAUAGGUCCAUCUUUUUUCUUUACGAUGCAAAAACCGUAUUUCAAAAGCUGAACCCUCAGCGGUUUCCUAGGGCUGGCGUCGGUCUGCGGAGAACUUCUGAGGCCCGGCAGCCAAUCAUCCUUUUCCUGGCGCUCGAGUCAUGGUCUCCUCCCACCAUAUGCGGUUCCCACAGCCAAGCUUUGGGCCAUCUGUCUAAGGACAAUUCAAGUGCCAGGAGGAUGCAUCGUCUUAAAAGCAGGCAUCAGGAUAGUGCUUCCCAAACAUUAAUGCACAGGGGCACCUAGGUUGCUCAGUUGGUUAAGCGUCUGACUCGAUGUCCGCUUGGGUCAUGAUCUCAGGAUUGUGGGACCUAGCCCUGCGUGGAGCUCUACACUCUGCACUUAGUGGUGAGUCUGCUUCUCUCCCUCUCCCCUCUGCCCCUCUGCACAUGUUCUCUCUCUCAAAUAAAUAAACAAAUCUCAAAAAAAAAAAAAAAAAAAGUGCUGGGACACGUGGGUGGUUCAGCGAUUGAGCAUCUGCCUUCAGCUCAGGACAUGAUCCUGGAGUUCAGGGAUCAAGUCCUGCAUCAGGCUCCUACAUGGAGCCUGCCUGCUUCUCCCUCUGCCUCUCUCUCUAUGUCUAUCAUGAAUAAAUAAAUACAUCUUUAAAAAAAAAAGUGUUGAUGUACAAAGGAAUCACUGGGAAAUCUUGUUAAAAUACAGAUUCUGGGGAUCCCUGGGUGGCGCAGCGGUUUGGCACCUGCCUUUGGCCCAGGGCGCGAUCCUGGAGAACCGGGAUCGAAUCCCACGUCGGGCUCCCGGUGCAUGGAGCCUGCUUCUCCCUCUGCCUAUGUCUCUGCCUCUCUCCCUCUCUGUGUGUGAUUAUCAUAAAUAAAUAAAAAUUUAAAAAAAAUACAGAUUCUGAUUCAGUAGGGCUAGAAAGGGGCCUAAGAAUUUGCAUUUCUAACUGCACCCAGGUGGUGCUGAUGCUGUUGAUCAUGGGCUACACUAUGAGUAGCAGGUUUUCAGAGCCUGUUAACCCUGGAGUGAUCCAAGUAAUUACUGUAUCAAAGCUAUGAAAUUGAGUAUGUGCAAUAUUUUUAAAGUUGCCAACAAAAUAACCAAUUAAUACAAUUUUGCAGUGAGUAUAAUACAGCUUAGAGAAUCCUGAGGCCUCGCUUCCUGUGUGUGGCAGGCUUACAUGCUUCUCCACAUACCCACCCAACCAGGUGGUACUUUAGCUAACUUGGGGGGAAAUCCAGUUAACCAAAAUACCUCAUUUCCUAAUCACGUCUGUUAAAUUCUUUCAAACCUGCCAUCCUUCUGGAUGAAUUCAGCAUUCAUACAGCUGGCUCAUGGUACCCUAAGCUCCAAUUAUGAUUACCUCCCUGCAUUUCAGCUACCAUGACAGUAUAGAAGAUUAGAGACACAAUAACCCUCUAAUAUAAAAUAAUAAUUCUCAAUGAAAUCAAAAAAAUCUAUUGAAGUACGAAUCUAAAAUAUUAAAAAAUUAAGGAAUAUUCAGAGACGAAAAACCAAGUGAAAGCAGGAAUCUGGAGGAGUAAACAAGCACAAAAGGAAGAUUUUAUGGGGCUUGAGGGUAUCUUCUGAACUCUAGUGAGCUCAGACCAGAGUUCUAAUGGCUAUGAAGGGUGUAGGGACAGGAGACAAACCCAAGACUCCAACUGAGGUAAGGAGUCUAAUAGAUCCUUAACCCAAAUAUACAUACACAAGUUAAGAGCACAAAGGUUUACACUUUUAUCAAAAAAAAAAAAAAUCUUCCCUAUACCAGAGGACAGGAAGAAAAUUAUAUGUCUUGAUCUUGAAUCUAAACAGAAGGGGGGAUAAAGCUACUCUAAUAAUUUGUGAAACACAAGCAUAGAUUCACGGCCCAAUUCAAAUGAUCUAUUGUUAGAAGACAAUUCUUCAUGAGUUGUUCAAGUUUCUGCACAUCUUGUGAGCAGAGGCACUGACUGUCUUUGUUCCAGACUAUCUUUUCAAUGGUUUAUGUAGUGAGAAGUCUUAGAAGAUACUGAUGGUGUCUCCCUCUAGACCAGAGGCAGAUUUGCCUACAGCCUUGGAAGAUAGCCAUAAAGUCUACCUCUGGACAAAAAGGUAGGCAUCCUUACUGCCCAUUAUAAAAUAUGCAUGUUCUGUAAGUUCAGGGUUCUUAUCCUGUAAUGCAACCCACUGCAUACAUGUCACCUGGUCUGCUGUGUAGCCCUGUGGGAAUUGGGCCUUAGGGAACCAACACAAAUGCUGACACUCUGGCUACUGCUAUUGCUUUGAGUAAUAACCUGUACUUGAUCUCUGACCCACGAGUAGUGUGUCUUCUGCCAAAAUCCAUGCAUUUAAAAUAAAUCCAUGCCAUUAUGGCAGGCUAACAGUAGCAGGGUAAAAUCUCAAAUCUUUCACACUUCUUAAUAUGUAGGUGGUACCACCAAACACCUUAUGCCUAGGGGUGCCUAGCUGGCUGUCAGUAGAGCAUAUGACUUUUGAUCUUAGGAUCAUGAGUUCAAGCGCCACAUUGGCUGUAGAGCUCACUUUAAAAAAACAAAAACAAAAAAAAAACGCUUUUUUGUGAAAAUAAAAAAAGAAGGGAUCCCUGGGUGGCUCAGCGGUUUAGUGCCUGCCUUUGACCCAGGGUGCGAUCCUGGAGUCCCGGGAUCGAGUCCUGCGUUGGGCUCCCUGCAUGGAGCCUGCUUCUCCCUCUGCCUGUGUCUCUGCUUCUCUCUCUCUAUGUCUAUCAUAAAUAAAUAAAUAAAUAUUUUUAAAAAAGAGAAAAAGAACCUUAUGCUGAAAAUAUAUAUAAUUUAAGUUGGUCACACCACUAGACAGCUAAUACAGGUCUCAACUUAUGAUGGAUAAUGUCUCAAUAUACCCACUGCAAAUUGAAAAUAUUGUAAGUUGAAACUGCAUUUCAUACACCUACCUGUGACGCCUGGGUGGCUCAGCAGUUGAGCCUCUGCCUUCGGCUCAAGGCAUGAUCCUGAGGUCCCAGGAUCAAGUCCCAUGGAGCCUGCUUCUCCCUCUGCCUGUGUCUCUGCCUCUGUGUGUGUGUGUGUGUGUGUGUGUGUCUCAUGAAUAAAUAAAUAAAAUCUUUAAAAAAAAAAUACACCUACCUACCAAACAUCAUACUUUAGCCUAACCUAAUCUAAACAUGCUCAGAACCCUUACAUUAGCCAAUACUUGGGCAAAAUCAUCUAACAAAAAGCCUAUUUUAUAAUGAAGGUUGAAUAUCUCAUGUAAUUUUUUGAAUACUAA
rnacentral:lncRNA from 1 species